GUGGAAUUGGAAUAUCUAUUUGUUCCCCUUGUGGUGUUUCGGAGUGGUGAUUCGAUACUUUGUUCUAUUUCCGGCAAGGGUACUGGUCUUGACUAUUGGAUGGAUAAUUUUCCUUUCGGCAUUCAUUCCUGUGCACUUCCUACUCAAAGGCCAUGAAAAAUUGAGAAAAAAUUUAGAGAGAUGGUUGGUGGAGUUAAUGUGUAGCUUCUUUGUUGCAUCUUGGACUGGGGUUGUGAAGUACCAUGGACCAAAGCCUAGUAUGAUGCCAAAGCAGG